UAGGUAAUUUGCCUUCGGGUGGGGAAUAACAGCCGGAAACGGCUGCUAAUACCGCAUAAUGCAGCGGCUCGACAUCGAGACAGUUGUUAAAGCGGGGGAUUCGCAAGAACCUCGCGCCUGAAGAGAAGCCUGCGGCAGAUUAGCUAGUUGGUAGGGUAAUGGCCUACCAAGGCGACGAUCUGUAACCGGCCUGAGAGGGCGGUCGGUCACACUGACACUGACAUACGGGUCAGACUCCUACGGGAGGCAGCAGUCGGGAAUUUUGGGCAAUGGGCGAAAGCCUGACCCAGCAACGCCGCGUGAAGGAUGAAAUCCCUCGGGAUGUAAACUUCGCAAGAAUGGGAAGAAUAAGUAGAAGAUAAUACCUUCUAUGAUGACGGUACCAUUUGUAAGCUCCGGCUAACUCCGUGCCAGCAGCCGCGGUAAUACGGGGGGAGCAAGCGUUGUUCGGAUUUACUGGGCGUAAAGGGCGCGUAGGCGGUCACUACAAGUCAGUUGUGAAAUCUCUGGGCUUAACUCAGAACGGUCAACUGAUACUGUCGGACUAGAGUGCAGAAGGGGCAACUGGAAUUCUCGGUGUAGCGGUGAAAUGCGUAGAUAUCGAGAGGAACACCUGCGGC
rnacentral:rRNA from 1 species